GCCCCCACCCCGCGUGCAAACGCUUUUUCCGACGACAAGAUGGUGAGCCGCGCAAACUCGCCUCACUGCUACUAGUGAUUUGAAGUUAACCAGUGCCUAAUGAUUUGAAGUUACUGACAAUCUUUAAUCUAGUCAUGUGAAUUAGUACUGGUGCUUAAUAAAUUACUUGAUGUGUAUGUGCAAGAAUUACGUGAUUGGUUAUGUCCUUGAACAUUUUAAUCGUAGCGGUCUCAUCUGCCAGAUGGAGGGGAACGAGAUGAAGCCAGUCCAGGGGGUGCCGCCCAUGCGGGGGAGCAUUGCGGCUUAAAGCUCGGUUGGUAAGUACACCAUACUGGUUUUUCUGUCAGUAUCACGGCUGGUUUUUCGUCAUCAUUAGUAUUCUGAUAUUGGACUGAAGCUGGUUAGCUCUGUCCAUGCUGGAUUUUUGGUAUCAUUUGUAUGCUAAUAUUGGACUGAAACUUGUUACCUCUGUCCAUGCUGGUUUUUUUUGUCAUCAUUAGUAUAAUGAUAUAUUGGACUGAAACUGCACAUAUUUUCUUUCCA
rnacentral:lncRNA from 1 species